rnacentral:rRNA from 1 species
GAGGGCGCACGGACACACUGGAACUGAAACACGGUCCAGACUCCUACGGGAGGCAGCAGUGGGGAAUUUUGCGCAAUGGGGGAAACCCUGACGCAGCAACGCCGCGUGGAGGAUGAAAUAUCUUGGUAUGUAAACUCCUUUCGAUGGGGAAGAUUAUGACGGUACCCAUAGAAGAAGCCCCGGCUAACUUCGUGCCAGCAGCCGCGGUAAUACGAGGGGGGCAAGCGUUGUUCGGAUUUAUUGGGCGUAAAGGGUGCGUAGGCGGUUUGGCAAGUCUUGUGUGAAAUCUUCGGGCUCAACCCGAAGUCUGCAUAAGAAACUGCCGGGCUUGAGUAUGGGAGAGGUGAGUGGAAUUUCCGGUGUAGCGGUGAAAUGCGUAGAUAUCGGAAGGAACACCUGUGGCGAAAGCGGCUCACUGGACCAUAACUGACGCUGAGGCACGAAAGCUAGGGGAGCAAACAGGAUUAGAUACCCUGGUAGUCCUAGCCCUAAACGAUGAUUGCUUGGUGUGGCAGGUACCCAAUCCUGCCGUGCCGAAGCUAACGCGAUAAGCAAUCCGCCUGGGGAGUACGGUCGCAAGGCUGAAACUCAAAGGAAUGA